rnacentral:rRNA from 1 species
UGGGGAAUCUUGGACAAUGGGCGCAAGCCUGAUCCAGCCAUGCCGCGUGAGUGAAGAAGGCCUUCGGGUUGUAAAGCUCUUUUACCAGGGACGAUAAUGACGGUACCUGGAGAAUAAGCCCCGGCAAACUUCGUGCCAGCAGCCGCGGUAAUACGAAGGGGGCUAGCGUUGUUCGGAAUUACUGGGCGUAAAGCGCACGUAGGCGGAUUGUUAAGUCAGAGGUGAAAUCCCGGAGCUCAACUUCGGAACUGCCUUUGAUACUGGCAAUCUAGAGUCCGGAAGAGGUUAGUGGAAUUCCCAGUGUAGAGGUGAAAUUCGUAGAUAUUGGGAAGAACACCAGUGGCGAAGGCGGCUAACUGGUCCGGUACUGACGCUGAGGUGCGAAAGCGUGGGGAGCAAACAGGAUUAGAUACCCCCGUAGUCCCUGAGCGGGCUGGCAAGGCGCAU